AACGAACGCUGGCGGCAUGCCUAACACAUGCAAGUCGAACGAUUGCCUUCGGGUGAUAGUGGCGCACGGGUGCGUAACGCGUGGGAAUCUGCCCUUAGGUUCGGAAUAACAGCUGGAAACGGCUGCUAAUACCGGAUGAUAUCGCGAGAUCAAAGAUUUAUCGCCUGAGGAUGAGCCCGCGUUGGAUUAGGUAGUUGGUGGGGUAAAGGCCUACCAAGCCGACGAUCCAUAGCUGGUCUGAGAGGAUGAUCAGCCACACUGGGACUGAGACACGGCCCAGACUCCUACGGGAGGCAGCAGUGGGGAAUAUUGGACAAUGGGCGCAAGCCUGAUCCAGCAAUGCCGCGUGAGUGAUGAAGGCCCUAGGGUUGUAAAGCUCUUUUACCCGGGAAGAUAAUGACUGUACCGGAGAAUAAGCCCCGGCUAACUCCGUG
rnacentral:rRNA from 1 species